GUGAAUCAUCGAAUCUUUGAACGCAAAUUGCACUCCCUGGUAUUCCGGGGAGUAUGCCUGUUUGAGGGUCGGUAGAAGAAAAAUCGAAUCAGCGUUCUUUUUUUUGAGGUGGAUCACGGCGGAAUUGAGGCGUCUUUCAAGUGUUAAUUCAUUUCAAAUUGGCUUAAAAUUCAUCCUUCCGUUACGAUUAAAGCGUAUUUA
rnacentral:misc_RNA from 1 species